rnacentral:piRNA from 1 species
UGGUGUCUGAAUGAAUGGGAAAUGG